AGUGAACGCUGGCGGUAGGCCUAACACAUGCAAGUCGAACGGCAGCACAGUAAGAGCUUGCUCUUACGGGUGUCGAGUGGCGGACGGUUGAGGUAGACUUCGGAUUCUACUCUUUCGGGGGGGCUAAUGUAGGGAAACUUACGCUAAUACAGCAUACGUCCUCCUGGUGAAAGCAGGGGAUCUUCGGACCUUUCGCUAUUGUAUGAGCCUAUGUCGGAUUAGCUAGUUGGCGGGGUAAAGGCCAAGCAAGGCGACGAUCCGUAGCUGGUCUGACAGGAUGAUCAGACAGACUGGAACUGAGAAACAGCCCAGACUCCGACAGGAGGAAGCAGUGGGGAAUAUUAGACAAAGGGGGAGAGCCUGAUCUAGCAAUACCGCGUAAGUGAAGAACGACUUCGGGUUGGAAAGCCAUUUUGUUGGGAAAGAAAAACAGCACGUUAAUACCCCGCUGUUCUGACGGUACCCAAAGAAUAAGCACCGGCUAACUUCGUG
rnacentral:rRNA from 1 species